rnacentral:piRNA from 1 species
UAGAGCUCCUUCUAUUUCCCAAUCCAGUGU